rnacentral:lncRNA from 1 species
AGUGUGAAAAUAAUUGAGUUCAGUUGAAAUGUCAUUAACUAUCACAUAUGAAUCUAAAAGUUGAGAUUUGAGCUUCUAACUUCAUUCCCUGGUGUUCUAACAAGUAAUGCAAGGUCUAUCUUACAAUGCCAAUGGCAAUCUUACACUUUGUUCUGCAUCAACAAAAUUCUUACCAUGAAUGUCAACCAGAUGUAGCGCACUCCAGGUUUGAGUAUCGAUGACUUGCUUAGCUGUGUUCAAACUGUAAAAAGAUGUAGCCCUAGAUUUUCCAAGGAUGACAGCCUUCAACGUGUACGGUUGCUUUGAGAUUUGGCUCGGUGCUGCUUUUUGAUCAACAGAUCAAGGAUGACAAAGCAUUGCUGCGAAAUCUCAUUGAGCAGACACCAAAAGGCAACCCUUAUGAGCAGACACCAGUCAUCUUCCUCUCUGACUCUUUAAAGAAAGUCCAAGAAAUGGAGCCUGCCUGCAACACAUGAUCAUGCGGGGAAAAAUGUUUUCCUUCCUUCAAUAACAACCUAUGUCAUCCUUUCUUCAAAA